rnacentral:rRNA from 1 species
CCUACGGGUGGCAGCAGUGGGGAAUAUUGCACAAUGGGGGAAACCCUGAUGCAGCGACGCCGCGUGAGUGAAGAAGUAUUUCGGUAUGUAAAGCUCUAUCAGCAGGGAAGAAGAAAGACGGUACCUGACUAAGAAGCCCCGGCUAACUACGUGCCAGCAGCCGGGGGAAUAUGUAGGGGGCAAGCGUUAAGCGGAUUUACUGGGGGGAAAGGGAGCGUAGGCGGCUGUGCCAGUCUGAAGAGAAAGCCCAGGGUUCAACCCUCGGACUGCUUUGGAAACUGGCGAGCUAGAGUGCUGGAGAGGUAAGUGGAAUUCCUAGUGUAGCGGUGAAAUGCGUAGAUAUUAGGAAGAACACCAAUGGCGAAGGCAGCUUACUGG